rnacentral:rRNA from 1 species
CGGCGCCACGAGUGGCAAUCAUGUAUUUGGCCUAAAGCGUCCGUAGCCGGUUUGGCAAAUCUUCUGUGAAAUCGAACAGCUCAACUGUUCGGCGGGCAGGAGACACUACCAAACUUGGAACCGGGAGGGGUACAGAGUAUUCCAGGGGAAGCGGUAAAAUGCUAUAAUCCCUGGAGGACUACCUAUGGCGAAGGCACUGUACCAGAACGGAUUCGACGGUGAGGGACGAAAGCCAGGGGAGCGAUCCGGAUUAGAUACCCGAGUAGUCC